UCUGUAUUUCUUUUAUCAUAUUAGAUCUCGAUUAAAUUUGAAACUUUUUUAUUGAAUAGUAGACUCUUGAAUUCAAACAAGACGAUUAUUCAUAUGUCCAGGGAUGAAUCUUGUUUGAAUUAGAUGGUAUGAAUUUGUCAAACAUUCAACAAAAAAUUCUUCGUGAUCAUACAUAAUUAUUUUCAAGCAUGUGAUUAAAGACGAUUGUUCGUAUGUCCAGGGGAUGAAUCUUGUUUGAAACAAAUGGAAAAAAGGCUCAUUUACAGGAGCUCCCACUCAGGUUCACAGAUGUUGCAUGUGGACGAUUCCGUUGAGUGUAAACAUGGUGAAGGAAGAGAAGGUAAUUGAGAGAGCUCAACGUGCUGGCUCGUUUCAGCAUCCACGUCUGCAUACAA
rnacentral:lncRNA from 1 species